rnacentral:rRNA from 1 species
GAUGAACGCUGGCGGCGUGCCUAAUACAUGCAAGUCGAGCGAACGGACGAGGAGCUUGCUGCUCUGACGUUAGCGACGGACGGGUGAGUAACACGUGGAUAACCUACCUAUAAGACUGGGUUAACUUCGGGAAACCGGAGCUAAUACCGGAUAAUAUGUUGAACCGCAUGGUUCAAAAGUGAAAGACGGUUUUGCUGUCACUUAUAGAUGGAUCCGCGCCGCAUUAGCUAGUUGGUAAGGUAACGGCUUACCAAGGCGACGAUGCGUAGCCGACCUGAGAGGGUGAUCGGCCACACUGGAACUGAGACACGGUCCAGACUCCUACGGGAGGCAGCAGUAGGGAAUCUUCCGCAAUGGGCGAAAGCCUGACGGAGCAACGCCGCGUGAGUGAUGAAGGUCUUCGGAUCGUAAAACUCUGUUAUUAGGGAAGAACAAAUGUGUAAGUAACUCUGCACGUCUUGACGGUACCUAAUCAGAAAGCCACGGCUAACUACGUG